rnacentral:rRNA from 1 species
CACGUAGGCGGACCGUUAAGUCGGAGGUGAAAGCCUGGGGCUCAACCCCAGAACUGCCUUCGAUACUGGCGGUCUUGAGUAUGGUAGAGGUUGGUGGAACUCCGAGUGUAGAGGUGAAAUUCGUAGAUAUUCGGAAGAACACCAGUGGCGAAGGCGGCCAACUGGACCAUUACUGACGCUGAGGUGCGAAAGCGUGGGGAGCAAACA